rnacentral:lncRNA from 1 species
UCUAAUAUUAAAAAUUAGGAUUAAUUUUGUAUCAGUCCCUGCAAACAAAAUGAAUGAUAAAUAUAUCUCUACAAAGUUCAAUUUUCAUAUAUUGUCCCUAUAAAAAUUUUCAAAUAUAUCUUUUUGGUUUGUUACCAUUCUUCGUUUGAUUCGGAUAUAAGCAAGAACUAGUUAUACCGGGGAUAGAUACAAGUAUGGAUUUUAGUAGGAAUAAGGGUAUUUUUUUAUUUGGAUGAAAAUGUGAGUAUAAGCUGGAACUAGAAAAAUUGUGUUUGGAUAAAAAUGUAAGUAUAAGGUGGAAUAGUUGGUAGUUAUAAAUAGAAAAUAAUGAUAUUACUCCUAUAAUUGAAUUUACAUUUUUAAAUUUAUAAUUUUAAAUUGAAAAGUUUAACUUUUAAAUUUUAAAAUUUGAAAUUAAAAUUUAAAAUUUUAAUUUUAAAAAUUUUAAUUUUAAAUAUCAAAUUUUAAAUUUAAGACCAAAUUUAAAUUUGAAAGAUAUAAAAUAUCAAAUUUAAAAUUUAAAAACUAAAAAUAUCAUAUUUAAAAUUUAAAUUUUAAAAAUUUUAAUUUUAAAUAUCAAAUUUUAAAUUUAAGACCAAAUUUAAAUUUGAAAGAUAUAAAAUAUCAAAUUUAAAAUUUAAAAACUAAAAAUAUCAUAUUUAAAAUUAAAAUUUUAAAUUUUAUAAUUUUAACUUAUAAAUUUUAAAUUUUAAAAAUUUAAAUUUUAAUUUAAAACAAAAAUUUCUCUCUCUCUCUCUUUACCCGAGGGUGGGAACAAGCUUGUUCCCACCCCUAUACCGGAUUGUACCGGGUAGGUAGGAACAAGUGUUCCCACCCACCAAUAAAAGUGUUUGGGUAUAAGGGGGGAUAACCUCCUUAUCCCCCUCUUGUACCCAAUCCAAACACCCUCUGCGGUAUCGUUUGGUUCGGAAAUAAACAAAAAGUGACUAUUCCAGAAAUAAAUAUAAAUUGAGGUAUAAACGGGGAUUAGAUCAAUUUUGCUUUCGGAUGAAAAUUGGGUUAUUCCUGAGAAUAAAAAAAAUAGCAUUUGGUUAGGUAAGAUGGAAUAAGAAAGAUAGUGAAUUUUUAUAAAUAAAAAAAUAAUGAUAUUGAUCUUUUAUUAUAUUUAAAUUUGAAUUUUUAAAAUUUUUAAAAUUAAAAUUUUAACUUUGAAAUUUCAAAAUUUGAAAUUUAAAAUUCUUUUAAAACUAUUNAUAUCUUCGUAAUUUGUUGCUUGGUUACGAAGGCUCGAAGAGGAAAGGCGAAAAUGUCUGUGAAUCAAAUUGUGCUGUAGUUGAGGAGUCUCCAUGCAAUUGUAUCUAAUAUUAAAAAUUAGGAUUAAUUUUGUAUCUGUCCCUGCAAACAUAAUGAAUGAUAAAUAUAUCUCUACAAAGUUCAAUUUUCAUAUAUUGUCCCUAUAAAAAUUUUCAAAUAUAUCUCUUUGGUUUGUUACCAUUUUUCGUUUGGUUCGGAUGUAAGCAAGAACUAGUUAUAGCGGGGAUAGGUAUAAGUAUGGAUUUUAGUAGGAACAAGGAUAUUUUUUUAUUUGGAUGAAAAUGUAAGUAUAAGCUGGAACUAGAAAAAUUGUGUUAGGAUAAAAAUGUAACUAUAAGGUGGAAUAGUUGGUAGUUAUAAAUAGAAAAUAAUGAUAUUACUCCUAUAAUUGAAUUUAAAUUUUUAAAUUU